GUAGUAACCUAGAGGACACAAAUGCUAAAAUUCAAGAAAGCUAUGGGUCAGUCACAUCAACAUGAUUGCAGUACAAUAUUGUUGGUAUGCAUUAUGCAAACAUGGAUUGAUAUAGAAGAAGCAAGUUUAUCAUACUACAGAUUAUUUUUUAUAAGUGUACAUCAUAACACAAACCUGUCUUUCAAUAGGGUUAGAUACACUUGGAACUUCUGACUGUCUUUUUGAUACUAGCAUAAGCAUUUAGGACUGAUAGCUAUAUUGAGGGGUUUUUAUUGUUGGAUUGUUAUUUUCUGUUCUCUUAGUUAAAUAUAUUUGGAAAAGGUAUAAGAAAUUUAUGCAUUGAUACUACAUGAGCAUGACCAAUACUCCAAUAUAUGCCUGUAUAGAUGGAACAGGUAAGGAGUAUUUGUACCAUUUAGACAGGAUUAUUUUUGGUCUUGCUUACCUGCAAUAAGCUCGGUUGAGUAAUCUUGAUUUUUUUCAGUCGAAUUUGAAUGAUGGAAGAGUUAUCAAUUUACCAGCCUGGCCAAGCGAAUGAAAAUGCUGCAAUACUUGGGUUAUUGGUUUCACGGAAAUAGUUGAUUGGCAAUACACAAAGCACAAGUAUCACGUUGGCUGCAUCUUAGAGAGGGUAGCUGGAGAUAUUUUCAACUUGGUAGCAACAGCCUGCAUAAGCAAUCAGCCUUGAUGUAAUAGAUGGGGAUGGUUGCACCGACCUGAAGACAGGAAAAGUUAUAUAUCAAGAAGUACUAGACUGCCUGCACCCUGCACAUACAUGUCCUUUACUUGACUUACUGCACCGUGCACAUACAUGUAUGUUCAUUUGAGUUAUGCUUUCUAAUAUAUGUAUGCUAUGUAGUCAAACAAUUAGUUUGCUGCUCCUUUGUUUUCAUGAUGCAUUUGUGCGUGCUGAUGCAGUCUUAAAGGGAAUGCAUAGACCAAAGACUGAUAAUUUGGAAUCCAUUGCAGGAGCGGGGGUCAUGCUCAGGAAACCAGUUGCAGAUUGCUGCAAAUGACAGUUGCAAACCGUUUGGUACUUAAGCUACCUACGGCAGGUGUAUUUCCAGACAAGAUCUAUUCAGCUUAGAUCAGACAACUGCUACAUUAUGUGUUUCUUACCAACAAUUGAUUCCAUGUUAUGGCAUCGGUCAAUAGUUUUGUAUUUGUACAUCGUGUUGCCCUGUGGCUGUAACCAAUGUAGUGAAGACUAUCCUUUGUCUCAUCUAUCGUUAAAUUAUUUCUUAUCGUUUUAACCAGUUCACUUAGUAA